CAGAAAAGUCUUUAUUGCAAAGGUACAAAAGCGUCACAGCAGAGAUGUACAGCAAUAAAUUAGGUGGUGGCCGUGAGGGGACAGGGCAGGUGUGGGCCACGACAUAAGGUCUCUUCUCAAUAAUUUAUAUCAUGAUAAAAGCAGCACAAAAAUAAAUAUUGAAAUGAAACUGCUGGGCAGGCAGAGGCGGGGAAAACCGGUGGGUGCCGAGCUUACGAAGGGGAGGACAAACCCACGCCACAAAGACGUCCCUGCCUUUUGUCUUAAAUAAAAAACCCAUAUAUUAAAAUUGUGACAAUGACAUCUCAAUGAUCCAAAAAGAAAAGCAGGAGGGAGCGAGCCAGUCUUCCUUCCCUGGCCCCUGAUCCCGGGAGGGCAAUGGGCAGCUGCGGGGACAGCUCCUCCGAGGCCCCAGCCAGCACUCGCCCACCUGCACCCCACGGGACGGGGCGCUCUGUGAACCCGGGGCGGCCACUGGGCAGGACAGCCGGCCAGGGUGGGCAGGGGGUGCGCCCAGGUGCCCAGGCCAUCUGCGGGACCCAAGUCAGAUGGGCAGGAGGGGAGACCAAGGGCAGCGGGAGGCGACCGGGCCUCCCACCUCGGGCUGCGAGCUGGUGCCUGAGGAGCCAGGCGGGGUGGCGACAGGUUCCCACUGCCCUGCCCUCGACGGCUGCUCUGCUCUAAGAGGCUGACAGUACCCAACAGGAAAAGAGUUACGAAAAGUCUGUACGAUAAAAUGUGUAUAUAAUUUUAUAUAUAUAUAUAUAUACUUUUCUCUCUUUUUUAAAUAUUUCCCCAUGGUCCUUAUUGACAUCCAAUGUGGAUUACCUACCAUGGCUAUGCGAUCAACAGCUUUUGCUUACACACCGGGCCUUUCUGUUACACACCAGGUUGUGUAAGGAUCCAGCGCCCCAGACCCUCCGCCUUCUCCCAGGACAGGGACAAGGCCAUGUGGCAAUGCUGCUGGAGAGGCCCAGGUGCCCUGUCUGCUCCUGCCAGCAGACACAGAAGCUGGACGCAGCCCUUGGGGCUGUCAGUCCUCCCCCAACCCUGGCAUGGCUGACACCUGCUUGCUGGGGGUCUCCCUGGGUGGCAGGGCACAAGAGGAAACCGGGAGCUGGAGCCCAGCGGCUUCUGGCCAGUGAUGGGGCUCAGCAGCUCACUCAGACCCAGGGCCGUGGCCCCAGCAUCCUCCCAGGAGGGGUAGAAGUGGCCGUCCAUGCCCAGCCCACACAGGGAGCCCCCGCGGUGGCUCUCAAGGAAGGGAAGCCCCAGCAAAGGUCACCUGCCCCAGAAAGGGCAGGUGAAGGUUCCAGGGAACUCAGCACCAGGCUCGCAGAGUCCCCUCGUCUCCUCUGUGCUGACACACCAUCCAGGUGCUUCCGGGAGGCCCGUCCGGUCCGUGUGGACUUCCUGGCCCAGAGCCUGCCACCUCGCCCACCAUCACCUCCUCUGCCCCAUUCAAGCCCGCCUCGUCUUCUGAUCCCACCCAGCCCCCUGCUCUCUCACCUCCUCCAGCAGUGGGAGCCACAGGCAGCCGGGCGCCCCCCAGCUCCAUGGCCGCUCCGGAGGCCUCGCUGACAGCCCGCCGUUCCGCACAGAACCUGCUCCCCACCCACCUCCCAGCCCCCAAGGCCCAUCGCCCCCUUCCCAUGCUGGGCACCACCUUCCCGGGCUCUGCGAGGCGGCCGCAGUGGGGGCUGGGUCCCCAGGCCAGGCUGCCACUGCUCCUCAAUAGGGACCUCCUUCCGGCCACCCCGACACAGAGAGAAAACUCACAACACUCAUGCACCUGCACCCACAGGCCCCCCCAGGACCACUUGCAACCAGCCACUCCUCCCAGGCCCCUGGUGCUGCAGGUGCUCUUCUGAGGUGGCAGGGGGACAGGCACGCUGACGUGUGUUGACAGGCUGCUGGUGGGAGGGGUGGAAGACGGAGCCCUUGCCACCCAGGCCACAGGGCCAGGGACCUGCUGAGGGCCCUCCCUGCAGACAUCCCAACUCCCCCGGCACAGGACACAGGCUCCGGAAGAGAGACAGUCCGCAGAGAGCUGGCAGGGCCCAGAGGAAGGCGAGGUGCGUGUGUGUGCAUGUGCGUGUGUGUGGGCGUGUGGGCAGGCGUGCGGCACACGGGCUCACAGGCCCCUAACUCUUCAUCAGGCCCCUGUGACCUCGCCCCGCCAGGAGCCCCACGGGAGCCUGUGCUUGGACUCGGGGUUUCAGGGGUCUGCUCCCCAUGGGACCCUCCAACAAGCACGAGGGACAGCCCCUCUGGCCCCACCGCCGGCCCCCUCGCCCAACCGGGGCCGGCACUAGGAGGCGGCCGAGAAGGGCACGGAGCUGGAGAUCUCAGCGGACUUGACGAUGGUGAUGACGCUGGUGGUGGCCACCUUGGUGGGCGUGAUGGGCCCGCGCGCCACGGUGCGGGCAAAGGUCUGCAGGGCCUCGUACUUGGAGCGCAGGGCGUCCAGCUCCAGCUUCAUGCUGCUGUUCUCACGCGCCAGCUUCUCCACCUCCUGCUGCAGCUCCACGCGCUGCCGCUCCAGCUCCUCCUUCUGCGUCACCCGCUUGAUGCGGCAGCUGGCGGCGUAGCCGCGGUUCUUGAGCGUGCGCCGGCGCUGCUUCAGACGGACCACCUCCUCCUUGGUGAGGCCCCGCAGGUGCUGGUUCAGCUCCCGCACCGACAUGGACACCAGCUCAUCGUCGCUGAGCACUGGGGCGUUCUCGCCCGCCUCCUUCUUGACCUGCGGGGCCACAGCACGGGGUCAGGACCGGGGCGAGGGAGGCCUCGCUGCAGGGACCCCAGAGGACCACUUGGAACGUUGCCGUGGACGAGCCCGGCUCCUGGCAGGGCCCCCCUGCAUCGCAGGCUGGCCUUCACUCCAUCAGGGAAUGGGGACGGUCACUGUGGGGUCACUCAACAUUGUGCACAGGAUGUAAGGCAGGACGGUCCCCGAUGGGGGCCGUUGGCCCCACCUGCCAUUACCCAGUUACUGUCUGCCACCCAAACUCUGCGAGGCCGCAGCCUGCACGCGUGCUGCCCUCUGUGGGUCUCCAGCGCCUGGUGCACGACUGACACGGGCAGGGGAGCGAGGGGAAGGCGAGGCAGCCUACUGUUCCGCACCCUCGGACCCAGGAGGCCCAGCCAGGGCCUGGCGGGACACGGCCACAUCCACCUGCAGGGCCUCAGGAGGGGCUUGGAGAGGCACAGCCCACAAAUACCGAGAGUCCCCGCUCCAGCGGGACCCAGCUCUGCUCCCGAGCCAGGAGACGGCCGGCCCAAGGGCACACGCUGGCCUCCAAAGCUGAGAGCCCCAGGAGGCGGGCAGCCGGAGCCAGGCCCGGGGAGCUGGAGCAGCACCGUUCACACGUGCCCUGCCCGGGGCCUGGCGGGACCAGAGGCCGCACUGCCCACGCCAGGGUGCCGGGGCGAUGAGCACAUCCUGGCCAGGAGGCACCAUCCCUCCCGCCCCCUCCACCCAGGAGUUAUGUCCUUGGACGUAAGCCUGCGUCUCCGAAGGCUGCAACCCUCGAUUCUGUCGACAUCUCUCGGGGACACCUCCUCCCGCCCUCUUCCAGGUGACAGGCCUUCCUCCCUCACGGUCCGGGCAGUCCUGGGACAGGGGGCUGCGCGGUGGAGACGGGGUGGCCCCUUACCUUUAACGCCUUGUUCGGUUUGGGGUUAGUCGUCAUAACCUGGGACAGGCACCCGGACAGAACUGCGGAAAAUCACUGCAGGAUCACAGAACAGAAACGCACGUGGUUAGGUCCUGGCUGCGCUGCCGUGACAAGUGACCUGAAGCAGGGAUGUCCCACUGCAGAGACGCUCCGAGGAGGCUCAGCUCCUCGCACUGUGCCAUCCAGUCAGCCCCACAAAAGCAAGGAGGAGCCCAGCCUGGCCUGAGAGCUCCCCAGGGGGGCACCCUGGCCGGGCCUGAGCCUCUGCUCGGCCGCGCCCCCCACUCCAGCAUCAGCCCAGGGAGCCGCCCAGACCCACCUUGUCCCAGUGCCCGGUAGCCACACGGCCGUCCCGCGCUGCCCGCCGGGCCUGUGCUGUGAGCACCAGCGCCUUGGGGUGAGGCCAGGUGUGAGCAGCUGUUGCUUCCUGUUCUGACUCCCACUCUGAGCUCCGACGUUCGCACCUGCGGGGCACAGGAGGCCACAGUGAAGGGCCGAGGCACGCAGCGGCCAGGCCCCCUCCCGAGAACAGCCGUGCCCAGCACUUGAGCAGUGCGCCGGCCAGGGGCAGCACCCUGCCCCGCCAAAAGCCUGUCACCCCCGACCCAGCCUGGCUCCCCGAGAAGCAGGGCCCCUUCGGGGAGCCCCUGCCCUUGCAGAGCUCACCCCAACGAGGGACGGGUGGAGCCCUGUGUCGGCCCCAGCCCGGCCCCGCCCUCCCGGCAGACCCACCUCCGCGAAGGGCACUGCAGCUGUGACAUCACCGCCGCCACCUAGACUGCCCCACAGCCAUGACCUGAGGCCCAGACGGUGGCCAGAGGCUCCCCACGCCAGCCAGCCCGGACCCGGGAGGUGGGAGCCACCACCUCACGCGCUCAUGGACUGUCUGGCGGGAGUCGUCCCCGCCGCCCGCCAGCCCCCCUACGCCCGCCCUUCUCAUUUUCGCGUCUGCAUUGUGUCACACAUUCUAAUCAUUCAUGAAAAAGCCAGCCAAAGCAUCCCAAGCAUGAUUCCCCUCUGAUAGUUGCCAUGGUGACCUUGGGAAGUAGCCAACCCCUGAUGGUCGCCAUGGAAACAGAGAAGCCCACAGCAACAAUGGCUUCGGGCUGGCGGUGCAGACACGGCAGGUUGCGGGACAGUAAACAAACCCUUGGUGCCCUGGCAGCCAGGGGGGCAGGAGGGGAACAGGCACCUGGCACACUGACGCCAGCUUACGGGAUCAGGGUCCGCUCCCCAGGUUCCAAACGCCACGUGAAGUGAACUGAGCAGAGAGACCGUCAGAGAAACGCGCCCAAGGAGGGGAAAUGGGGCCCCAGAGACGGAGCCGCAUCAAAGCCUCCAUCUGGGGGGAGCGAGACUCAGGGGGAUGGGCUCCACAACGCCCACAGUCCUGGGACCCUCACUGCAGCAUGGCCUGGGCCUCCACCCAUUGGCCCUGCCGCCAAGGGCCCGCCCGCCCCUCACCCCAGAGGCUGCCAACACGACAGAGGGGCCGGCACCCAGGCCUGCAGACGCCGACUGCCCCUUGCAUCGUGGCUGCUCUCCCAGGUACUAAUGAUGGCGGUGGAGAGCAGGACGGCAGCGGGGCCGAGCCGGGUAUGGCCUCCGGGGGCCCGCACUCCUCGGCACCCCUCGCAAGGUUUCACACGGGUGCCCGAGCCAGACACGCAGCAGGCUGAGGCAACCCUAGCAGGGAGCUAAGAGCCGCUUCCUGACAGUGGCUUGAUGCCCUGGCAUCUGGGGGCACCAACGAGCACCCCACAGGCCCGCCCCUCCCUGCAGGUGCGGGGGUCAAAGCCAGGCUGAAGGAGUCUCCAGGAGCCUGGCGGGAGCCCGGCGGCUGGGAGAGCCUGAGAAACUUCUCCAUGGCGGGCGGGUGGCCGGCGGGGACCGUUCCAGCUCACACUCCCAAGCACGUCAGCACACAAGGGCCCGGAGCCGCCAGGGCAUAGCUGUGCGGUGAGUCACCAGCUGUUUACAGAGCUGGGAGCUCACAUUCCCACAGCCCCGAGGCCCCUCCCACCCUGCCAGGACCCGAUGGGAAAAGGAAGGCCCCAGCCAAGGAGGGGCCUGCUCAGACCCCCCACCACACCCCACAGGCGUUCUGUGGCCCCCCCCCCCCCCGGGGAUGGUGACAUGCCAGCUCAGCCAGGUCAUGGGCCGUGUUCAGGGCAGGGAUGCCCCCCGGGGACCUGACCACCAGGAAUCACGUGGCGGGACACCUAGGUGACCAGGACGCGCACAGGCCUGGGCCGCAGCGCUCGGCGAGCUUGGCCUCCUCCCCUGCACAUAAGGGUCUAUCGCCCACAUCAGCGAGGUGAAGGUUGCCCGGGCAUAGCCCCGUGUUCAUGGGCUCUGAGCCCAUCUCGCCUGCGCCCCUGGACUAAUGGGGGCCCACCACCAUGGGCAAGGAGCCUCAGCAGAGACGGGAGAGCAGCCCUGGGGUCCCGCCUGGGGUCUGAGCGAGGAGGACGCCUCUCUCUAAGAGAGGGCACCAUGGUGGGGUCCGACCUCAGGGAACUGUCCCUAGUUCUCAGACCUUCUCUCCAAAGAGAGUGACAGGAGGACUAGAGGAGCGAACGUGCCGAGGUGACGGCUGCCCUGGUCUCGAGACAAAGUUGGGGAGUAAUUCAGUAAACCCUCUUCUCUCUGUGGGUCUUAAUCUCCUCUCCUGAAAAAUGAGGGGAUCAGAAAUGGGGCCCCAGGGUCUUGUCCAGCUCCCAAAGGUUCUCGGCUGGGUCCAAUGGGUGACGCUAGGAGAGAGACCCUGGCUGGGGGCUCCAUUCUCAACCCCCAGACUUCAGGGUCUGUACCAGAGGCCCCCUGAGGAACCAGAGACGGGGGGAGGCUGGGAAACCCCAGGCAGGACACCAUUGCACAGCUCUGUGCUCAUAAGCAGGACCCCCACUGCCUCGGCCCCUUCAGGGACCCGCUUUCCUGGGAAGUUUUCACCAACUGCUGGAGAGACGCGCUGCCCACCCGCCCCGUCUGCGCCCCAGCGGCCUGCCCCGCGAGAACCUCAUCGCACAGCCACAGGCUCCAGGUCCAGGGGCAGAGAGCCCUUCUCUUGGGAACUCAGUACACAGAGAAGAGCUGCACUGUCCCUUACCUCUACCCAAAAUACACAAAACACAUGUGCUAUCGACCUAAAGACACUCCAAACAUUAGAAAAAGGACAACCUGCUUUUGGUUCAGAGGAGCGAGGUUCAGAGGAGAGUUUCGGAUGAGUGAAAAAGAGUCAGUGAAACAAGUGAUUUUAAAACAACUGUCCUAAAAUGGGUAUUUGUAAGCCACGGAACCUCAGGCAACCUCCACGGGCACCAGAGCACACACAGGAAGAACUGUCUUCUGAGCCGGCCGGAACCCAGCCGGGGUUACACACUGCAGCCUGGCGCGGUGGGGCCAGGCGCGCGCCCCAGAAGCUGGCCUCCCCUCCUGUCAAGGGUCUAACGCCACAUUACCGCAUCAGCAACCGUCAGCGCCAAAAACGCCUCUCCAACAGCUGCCCACGAGGAUGCUCCAGCUGGGCUGUCCCACGUCCACGGACCGACAAGUCUUAGCGAUGCCGUGUGCAGAGAGCCCGCGCUCCCAGGGGCUUUCUGAUGCCACUCCAGUCACCCGAGCAGCUCAGCGGCCCGUGCCAGGCUGCGUCUGGAACGGUGUGUCUGCACGUCCGCUGCGUGCACCCACUUGCCCAUCCAAGUGGGAGUGACCACGCGCGUCCCCUUCAGCCCAGAGGGGGCCGCUGGUCAGGAGCGGGCGCAGUCAGCACUUAGAACGUGGAACACCUUUCGGGCGACUAUUUUUCUAACUGAAGAGGCUGGUUUUCAACCCAAAGCCAGAAACUUCAUUCUGACGUACAUCUAAACAAGGUGAACAAGGAAGGAUAAUUUCCUUUAAAAGCAGAGGAAACACCCGAGCAGCUCAGAUGGAGUCAGCUCCAGUGACCGCACAGUUUGGAAUAAAUUAGGGAGCCCGGGGCGCCCCGCCCCUUCCGGCCCGUAAAGAACAGGGCAGGGCGACUCUGCCCAGGGGAGCUGGGCAUCGCGGCCCUGCGCUCCGGGAGGGCGGGGCAGGUGGCCCAGGUUCCACCAUCCACCACUGCCUUCCAGAAGCAGGUGCGUCCAAGGCCAGGAUCUCGGGUGCCUUCGGGUUCCUUUUUACUUUCCAACUCCCAGCAAACGCCUACUGCUUGGCACUAGCUCGUGUGGGAAACUCACAGCCCUGGCCGUCCCCAGCACACUCCGGCCCUCUCUGGGCUGGGCCCGGGUUGGGGGUUUCUCCACCAAUAACACCAGGCCCAGGCAGCUGAUGGGAGCCAGGGCCCCACCCAAGGAUAAUCUCCUAGGUUGCCAUCAUGUAGGAGAAAAGAUUUUGAGUUUCAAAGGGCUCCAAUGCUGACUUAACGACUGGCCCACCCACUCAUCUGGCCUGUGAGCUGCAUGCGGGCAGGAAGCUGAACCUCUGGCACCUGUUCCAGCGGGCAGAGAGCGGAGGCGGCCGCUCCGGAGCCUCCCAGCAACUGCUAGGCGUGGGGUACCCCUCCCACUGCCAUCCUCCCAGGUCCCCAAGGCUGUCAGGGUGGGGAAGAGGGAGGAGGGGAGCCGAGGGGUUCCGUCUUGGAGGAGCAGGUUCCCACUCCAGGCCGCAGAGCAGCAACCGCUUCACCUGACAGGUGCAAACCCUGAAGCCAGAAGCCACCCAGAUGUGGCCGACUCUGCUCUGCAGGGCUGCGGGCCUCUCACAGGUGACCAAAGCUGAGCGCCCCUCCGGCUGGCUGCACGGCGGGGUUGACCCACACAGCGGGCUCCUGACAAACAAGCAAACGCUGACUCGUCCACAGUGACCUGUUGCCUCACCGGCUGAACACAGGCCCCAGGACCAGGAGGGCUUGGGACCACCUCCAGACCACCCUGCCCGCCUCCGGACACAGGGUUCUGCUGAUGUCACACCCCAGCUCCCCUCAACGUGGGGGGUGUCCCGCAGCACCUCGCUGUGCACCCCACCAGCCCGGCCCACACCCAGCCUGCAGGCUGGCCCUGGCUGGCUGCCCUCCGGCAAGACAAGACUGUCUGCCCGGCUUGGGGGACGUCUGGUCACCUUGUGUUUGCGGUUCGAGGAAGCUGUGUCAUCCUGGCUCCAUCCGGAGGUGACUCAGGCGGCUGCCGGGCUGACAGCAGGCUGAAUGCCACACCCCCCACCGUGCGCUGGCCCCUCGCUCCCGCUGGCCCCUCGCUCCCGCUGGCCCCUCGCUCCCACUGGCCCUUCGCUCCUACAGCCCCAGCUUCAGGCCAGUCCCUGCUCCCCUUGCACCCCUCCGGGUGGUCCCUCCGCCUCCAGGCUCCCCUUCAGAGUUCUGUUCUCUCCCCAGCCAUCUCAUGCUGCCCAGGGCUCCAGUCAGCCUCAACCUCCACGUGUAGCCAGGAUGCUCCCUGGAAAAACCGACAGGCCCGAGACACACGCGUCUCCCGCAGCUGCCCUCCCGUGUCUCCAGCUCAGACGACCCACCAUGGCAUUCACGCAGACAUCACCCCCCAGGCCUCACCUCUCCCUCCACGGCCGCUCGCUGACCCCAGCCUGCUGGCCUCAACCGAGUCUUCCUGCAGAUGCUCUGGCCCCCCGCUUCUCAUCAGGACUCCUGCCUCAGUCCCUCAAAUGCAGCCCCCCAGGCAGGCGGAGGGACCCACUGGCUCAGAGUCCCUCCCAAGCUGCCCAUUCCCUUGGCCACCUGUCGCCAUUCCAGGCCUCCACCUCUGGCUUCUGACA
ensembl:lncRNA